GGGGAUGUGGCUCAGUGAUAGAGUGCUUGCCUAGCAUGCACAAAGCUCUGGGUUUGAUCCCUAGCACUACCA
rnacentral:tRNA from 1 species